rnacentral:rRNA from 1 species
AUGAACGCUAGCUACAGGCUUAACACAUGCAAGUCGAGGGGCAGCAUGACCUAGCAAUAGGUUGAUGGCGACCGGCGCACGGGUGAGUAACACGUAUCCAACCUACCGGUUAUUCCGGGAUAGCCUUUCGAAAGAAAGAUUAAUACCGGAUAGCAUAGCGAGAAGGCAUCUUCUUGUUAUUAAAGAAUUUCGAUAACCGAUGGGGAUGCGUUCCAUUAGUUUGUUGGCGGGGUAACGGCCCACCAAGACAUCGAUGGAUAGGGGUUCUGAGAGGAAGGUCCCCCACAUUGGAACUGAGACACGGUCCAAACUCCUACGGGAGGCAGCAGUGAGGAAUAUUGGUCAAUGGACGAGAGUCUGAACCAGCCAAGUAGCGUGAAGGAUGACUGCCCUAUGGGUUGUAAACUUCUUUUAUAUGGGAAUAAAGUGAGCCACGUGUGGCUUUUUGUAUGUACCAUACGAAUAAGGAUCGGCUAACUCCGUGCCAGCAGCCGCGGUAAUACGGAGGAUCCGAGCGUUAUCCGGAUUUAUUGGGUUUAAAGGGAGCGUAGGCGGACUAUUAAGUCAGCUGUGAAAGUUUGCGGCUCAACCGUAAAAUUGCAGUUGAUACUGGUCGUCUUGAGUGCAGUAGAGGUAGGCGGAAUUCGUGGUGUAGCGGUGAAAUGCUUAGAUAUCACGAAGAACUCCGAUUGCGAAGGCAGCUUACUGGACUGUAACUGACGCUGAUGCUCGAAAGUGUGGGUAUCAAACAGGAUUAGAUACCCUGGUAGUCCACACAGUAAACGAUGAAUACUCGCUGUUUGCGAUAUACAGCAAGCGGCCAAGCGAAAGCAUUAAGUAUUCCACCUGGGGAGUACGCCGGCAACGGUGAAACUCAAAGGAAUUGACGGGGGCCCGCACAAGCGGAGGAACAUGUGGUUUAAUUCGAUGAUACGCGAGGAACCUUACCCGGGCUUAAAUUGCAUCUGAAUAAUUUGGAAACAGAUUAGCCGUAAGGCAGAUGUGAAGGUGCUGCAUGGUUGUCGUCAGCUCGUGCCGUGAGGUGUCGGCUUAAGUGCCAUAACGAGCGCAACCCUUAUCUUUAGUUACUAACAGGUCAUGCUGAGGACUCUAGAGAGACUGCCGUCGUAAGAUGUGAGGAAGGUGGGGAUGACGUCAAAUCAGCACGGCCCUUACGUCCGGGGCUACACACGUGUUACAAUGGGGGGUACAGAAGGCAGCUACACAGCGAUAUGAUGCUAAUCCCAAAAGCCUCUCUCAGUUCGGAUUGGAGUCUGCAACCCGACUCCAUGAAGCUGGAUUCGCUAGUAAUCGCGCAUCAGCCACGGCGCGGUGAAUACGUUCCCGGGCCUUGUACACACCGCCCGUCACACCAUGAGAGUUGGGGAUACCCGAAGCCUGUGAGCCAACAGUUAAAUGGGGCAGCAGUCGAAGGUAGAAUCAAUGAUUGGGGUG